UUAUUUUCUAUGGUAGCGUGAUUGGUCUUUAAGUGUUCUGGAUAGAUAUAGUAGUAGGCUGUCCUCUCUUCUGGUUGGUUUCAGAACAGCCAAUGAGCUCUCAGACCACACCCACUCCUGGAGAAAGAAGAGGGAAGAAUGCCAACAGCACUGACGUGUGUGGUGAUGCCAUUGUUGUGACAACAUCUUGGAUGGGUGAGUUAGCAGGCGGUAGUGAGGUGGAGAGGACUUACCUGGGGGAGAUGAGACCGUGGAAGACUCUCCUUCAACAGUACCUGGACCUCAGCCAGAGCCGCUGCUCAUAGUGAGGAGGCCAGGGUGCAUUGGAAGACACCUGUGCGUGAGCAGCACGAGCCAGCUAGCGCUCUGGCAGUGGAGCCAACGCCUCAGCGGGAACCCGACUUGAUCUCCUCUAGAAACAUUGCCUAGGAGCCCAAAACACAGCCACCCUGACAGAAAGGAAGAGAUACACUGCCAAUAGUGGAGUUUACUUAUAUCAUGUGCUGAACACCCUUUCAUUCCCUUAAUAUGCUGGUGAGUGAGAAUAUUCUGUACCCUUUCGUAGCCUUUUUACACUGGUUAAUAAAUUAUUAUACUUCCUCUUGCCCUGGGUUUCCUUAUAGAAUGGAGAUCUCAGUAUCUCAAUAGGACUAACCUGGAUACAUAUAUGAUAAAGG
rnacentral:lncRNA from 1 species